CCAUCACACCGAAAAGGGGCUUCAGAAAUCCCAGCAGCACACGUUUAACGACUUGCACACGCGCGCGCGCACACAAACACACACACACGCUCGCGCGCGCGCACACACAGAGUGUGAUUUACAAAUGACGGAAGGAUUCACGGAGCGUCCUUAAAUGCCGGAUCCGUGCACUGAAGCCCUGAGAUCAGAAUCUGCAUGAUCAUCAUUUCAGGUCCGGAGAUCUUCAGACACCGAGAUCUCCAAAUAUCUGUCCUGGAAAUCCUGUGCAGCGCGCGCUCAGCCUGGUAGUGUAUGAGGUAGGGGUGGACCACAUGAGGAACAAUACAUCAUCACCAUAUCUACAGCACAUGUCUGUGAUACACAAUCGGUAUAACGAUGCACACGCGUCCUAAACCGGACUCGAACCCCGGCUCCAGAGCAGUGUGGGGGGAUUACUAAACAGAGAUAUCAGGAGAUCUGUAGACCAUACGGGACACUGGAGGUCCACCAGGAGAUUUUAGAUACUUCAUGCUUCAUCUGCUGACGAGCUUCAUGGAGACGCUGAUUUCCUUCUCCAGCAGGACUCGGCACCUCCCACAGUGCCAAAACUUCUAGUAACCGGUUUACUGACCGUGGUGUUACCGUGCUCGAUCGUCCAGCCGCCUCGCCUGACCCGAACCCCAUAGAGAAUCUACGAGAGACACCCGACCCGACAAUACAGACGAGCUGAAGACCGCUAUCAAAGCGACCUGGACUUCAGAACACCUCAGCAGUGCCUCAGGCGGAUCGCCGCCACGCCGCACUGACGCAGUCAUUCCUGCAGGAGGAUUAAAACCCCGACCGAGCAUCAGCGCAUGAAUUAACACCCUGUUCAUCAGCUCCACAUCUCUGUGUUAUAAAUCCUUCACUCUGAGAUACUGAUAGUGGAUUAUUUUCAUUUCAGUGAGCUGUGACCUGUAAUCAUCCGGAUUAAAACAAAACAAGGCUCGAAAUAUUUCACUUUGUGUGUAAUGAAUUUACGAAAGUUCCACUUUUUUAAAUUAAUUUAUUUUUUAAAAAAAAAGAAAGAAAAAAAAAAAGAAAGAAAAGCACUUUUCCCCGGAUAUUGUAAUAUUUUGAGAAGCACCUGUUAUUCAGCCACUCGGGAUUAGUUUUAAUCACUUCAGCGAUCUAUAAAACCUGAAAACAUUUCCAGACAGCAGAGACAGGAUCCAGAACUCGGAGCGGUCUGUUCUGGGGUUUCUGGAUGUAGAAUAAAGUUCUCCUCGCCAUCGUGUUCCUCAGACCCCAUGAUCGACUCACUCUGCAGAGCAGCGAGUAAUGAGGACAGUAGCGUGAUUAUUCAGAGACUGUGAUGUGUGAACUUCACCGCCAUUAGAAAACAGAGUUUAAACUUUAAACAGUGUAAUGAAGGACACGAACAAUCAGUGCGUUUACAUGGACAAUAAUCCACUCUUAAUCCGAUUAAGACCAUACUCUGAUUAAGAAACUCGCAUGUAAACAGCGAGUAUUUUUACUUCCCUUAAUCUGAUUAACGUCAUACUGGAAUUAAGCUCUAAUGGAAUUAAGACGUGUGGAGUACUCCUGUUGUAGUCGCAUCAUGGACGUGUAUUACAGACGUGUUCACACCUUAAUCACACUAUGAACGUCGUGUGAGAGUUUUCACCGCAUUGUGCGACAGGACACGAUCACACACGGCAGCGCUCAACAUUUUACGGUGAACAAGAGAGUUCGGCCGCGUCCCAAACCGCGUACUUGCCCACUAUAGGCCUGUAGUGGGGAGAAAUACAUGUAUCUCGGCUACUAUACAGACGGUAAGUACGCGGUUUGGGACGCAGCCCACGGCUUCAAGCAGUCGUCUGUUAGCACGUACAGCACGACUAAUAAUUAACUGCACUUAAAGCGUCCGUAAAAAAAUUAAAUAAACACACCCAAAACUGUGUACGGUCCCAUAACGAAGACCAACUGCAUGUUGAUGCGUGAAAUUCUGGAGGGACGUCGGACGGCGUGGCGCGGGGACGUGAUGACGCGGGCUGUUCAUCUAAUUAUGUUCUAGAACAUGUAAACCAGGUACAUGACAGGAGUAUUCUAAAAGCCACUCAUGUACACACCUUAAUCACGUUAUUAUCUUACUCAGAGUAAAGUCAAUAAUUACAUUACUGCUGUCCAUGUAAACGCAGUCGUGGAGACAUUCGGCUUUUCCUGAUCCGUCACGCGGUGAAAGAAAACCUACAGCCGCGCGGCGGGAAACCGACUGUUCCUCCGGGACAGAUCACAUCACCUGGUGUAUUCCAGCACAUUCAGAACAAUGGGACUAAAAGACCAGCGCCAAUGAGAGACGAGAGAGUGUGUGUGUGUGUGUGUGUGUGUGUGUGUGAGAACAAGGAUUUAAAGGACCUGCUGCAGACGUCUCGGUGCCAGACCCCACAGCACACCUUCAGAGGUCUCGCGGAGUCCGGGUCUAGUCGGGUCAGAAGUGUUCACGAGGCAGGAGGGAGGACGUCACAGUAUCAUGCAGGUGGUUUUAAUGUUAUGGCUGACGGGUGUACAGUCGCAGUGACUCCUGUAUUACACCCGAACUAAAAGAAACAUCCGGAUAUGGUUCAGAAGUUGUUCAGUAGAGACAGCAUUAUUCUGUCUUUCUCUGCGCAGGCCCUGCAUGUCUGGGAUGUUCGUUUUAUUAUCUGUAGUCACCCAGCAGACGUGUUGGACUUUGGUCCUCGAGCUGAUUUUCAUCCAUCGUGUUGUUGUUGUUGUACAAAAUAACAACGGAAACACACUCAUUAGAUGGGAUUUGGCUUCACAAACAUCUUUUUGUUCUGUUGCUCGGAUUUAAACCACAUUUAACGGCGACGGGACGUGGUGUAAUCAGCAGAGUCUCCGGAAGUGCUGAGAUAAACGCUCUCUGCAUCUUUAUCCCCUUCCGUUCUUCUGGAGCUGAAAGACGGAUGUGUAACGAUCACCAGCAGCUCGGCGGAGUCACCCUCCAGAUGUUUCGACCCCGAGUGACUCGGAACACGAGGCGGAACACGAGGCAGAACGCGGCGGUGAGCCGGGAGGUAUUAUAUUAUAUUCUUAAUCCAACAACGCAAGCGUUACACGUUGCCAUGGUGACGCAGACCGACCGACAGCCCCGAGUAACGCUUUCAGUGUAACGAACUUUGGCUAGAUUAGACGUGUCCAAGCGCCGUGACACUGAACACCAGCGCUGGUCCGAUCAGAACCGACCGUGUCGUGUGACCGAGACAGACUUUUAUGGUACUUUCACUAGCGGCUCGGUGACCUCUGGGAGUUAAACUCGACAUCCCGGUGACUAACGCAGACGUGAAAGCGCAGAGCUCCUCCUGGACCGGCGGCUGAAACGCUCCUGGACCGGCGGCUGAAACGCUCCUGGACCGGCGGCUGAAACGCUCCUGGACCGGCGGCUGAAACGCUCCUGGACCGGCGGCAGACAUCACGCUGAACACGAUCGUAAACACACAGCAGUUUUAUUUCCACAGAUCAGACGUUCAGGAGAAGAAACACACACACAGACAGACAGGAUUUCAAAUCUCACACAUCUCUUCAGCUUACAGCCAGGGCUCUGGAUUUACACUCAGAUAGAAUCAGAUUUAUUCUCUCACACACACACACACAUAUACACACACACACACACACACACACACACACACACACACACACACACGGGGUGAAAAAGUAAAGUAAAAAGAUGAAUAAUGUAAAGCUGAGGCUACAUUUCAUCUCUAAAACUUGUAAAAAGUAAUCAGAGUUUUAAUUAAAGCUGGGUAAUGAAACAUUGCUUGUGGUCUGAUAGACGUUUGUUUUAUUUUUACACACGUGCACUGAUGAAAUCUGGAAUUGGGGCGGUGCAGGAACGCGGGGUUCAGUUUUGUCGAGAUUUGAUCUCUCAGCCUUCUGGCACGUCACGAACACAGCACCCCGGGGGAAACGGCCAUGCCCGCACUUCCCCUCCCGGACCUGACCCAGCACAUGCAGGAGCGACCCCGGAGCGACCCCGGAGCGACCCCAGAGCGACCCCGGGUGAUGUGCGUGGAGGAGCGAUUUUCAGCGGUUUCUGGUUUUAAAUUGUUUUAACGAGCGUCUGGGUCAGAGACGUGUAGCAGUGCAGAUUAAAUCGGGAGUUUUCAGCACAGGGGAUUAUUAUUAAUAUCAGAGAAAUAAACCCAGCACACGGGG